CAAUGGGUGUGGUACUUUAAGUGGAAAGAAAAAGCAAGUGAGUUGUAGUGAUGAAACAGAUGUGGGUAGGAAAGCUAAUGGAGAAAGGCAGAUGUAGAAUAAAAAUUUUACUAGUGGUACACUAAGUAGAGCAGCACUUGACAUAAACAUAUACUAUGCACUAGCAUGGAUCUCUCUGGCAAUGUUUGUGAUUUCAGGUCCCUCACCCUCGUGGCUUGGCCAAAGGCACAAACAAUGCAAAGAUAACAAAGGAUGAUGCCCAUUGGUCUAGAAGAAUCUUUGGCUCCUUCAGGCACAUAAAAGGCGACAGAUAUUCAAGGAACUGACUUCAUUGCAAUGAGAAUAAACCACCUCUAAAAUAAACCACAAGUGCCACAACCCUCUUGGCUCUCAUUUGCCUCCUGCAGUCUGAUCACAGGAAUAAAGUAUGAGAGCAUGAAGAAGCUCUCCAGUCAAGCUGAAAAAGGAGGAGUUGACAAGCCAGGGAAAUGUUCUCCUGUAACCUUGAACUUGUAUUCGCUUCCCUCUGAAAACAAGAUGUCUCAAGGCAGACAGGGGUGGAGGUGAAGUACUUCACAACAUCAAUACCAUGUUAUAAAUACCUCAGAACUGUGGUAGCCUGAAGGUUUUGUGGACUCCAUGGAAUUUAAAAUCAACCUACACUAAAGUAUUUCCUUUUUAC
ensembl:lncRNA